rnacentral:rRNA from 1 species
CUGCAGCUCAAGUGGUGACCACUAUUAUUGGGCCUAAAACGUUCGUAGCCGGUUUGGUAAAUGCCUGGGUAAAUCGUGUAGCUUAACUAUACGAAUUCCGGGUAGACUGCCAAACUUGAGACCGGGAGAAGCUAGAGGUACUCCUGGGGUAGAGGUGAAAUUCUGUAAUCCUGGGGGGACCACCAGCGGCGAAGGCGUCUAGCUAGAACGGGUCUGACGGUGAGGAACGAAGCCCUGGGGCGCAAACCGGAUUAGAUACCCGAGUAGUCC